GAGUUUGAUCGUGGCUCAGAUUGAACGCUGGCGGCAUGCCUUACACAUGCAAGUCGAACGGCAGCACGGGAGCUUGCUCCUGGUGGCGAGUGGCGAACGGGUGAGUAAUGCAUCGGAACGUAUCCUGGAGUGGGGGAUAACGUAGCGAAAGUUACGCUAAUACCGCAUAUUCUGUGAGCAGGAAAGCGGGGGACCUUCGGGCCUCGCGCUCUUGGAGCGGCCGAUGUCGGAUUAGCUAGUUGGUGAGGUAAAGGCUCACCAAGGCGACGAUCCGUAGCAGGUCUGAGAGGAUGAUCUGCCACACUGGAACUGAGACACGGUCCAGACUCCUACGGGAGGCAGCAGUGGGGAAUUUUGGACAAGUGGGGGCAACCCUGAUCCAGCCAUGCCGCGUGAGUGAAG
rnacentral:rRNA from 1 species